rnacentral:lncRNA from 1 species
UUGACUUUUCAGUAUAUUGUUCAUGAUUUGUGUUAGAUGUGUAUCCUGGAAUACAAUAAUAACAAGUGUAAAUAUAUAAUUUUCAUAAUUAUAAAUAGAUAUACGUAUAUUGUCAAGAAAUGAAAGUCUAACUUUCGAACCUGUUUCAUAUAUUGAAUAUCCCACAAAAUAUGGAUAUUGCUCACUUGAAAUAUUAUUACUCAUAGAGGAUGAUACGAUAACAGAGCUACUAAUUAGCGAGCAGGCAGAAAGUUGCCGGCCACUUGUUUGACCCCGUACUUGCUCGUGCUCGCGCUAAGAGAGCCUCCUUUUUAUCAUCUUGCAUCAUUUUGUAUAAUUCAAGUCCCCUAGCCUUCUUGUCAUCAUGUAUUUUUUCAGAGCUUUCAUUUUUAUGAUUUUUACUCGACAUUUUACUCGUCUACUAAGCUGCACGUAGUUUGUACAUAUGCUUACAUUAUUAGAAAAAUCCAUGUAAAAAUGAACAAUAACUAUAAAUAGAUGACCAGAGAUUAGAAAAUUUACCUUCUGGUCCAAGUGCUACUGCAUAAUAAAAGUGGAAAAAAAUCAUAAGAUCGCAAGAACUGCAGUGACAAAGAGAAUAAAUUAUCAUGCACAACAGAGUGUAAAAAGCAAAGAACAAGUAGAGGUCUCAUAUUAAACAUUCAUUUUAGACCCUGCAUAUGCAUGAAUUGUGUGUGUAUAUAUAUGAAUGACAUAGCUAGAAGCACACUGAAUUACAAUCAGAAAAAAAGUUUACAACAUAGGCCAAAAACACAAAUAGUGAAACUGCAAAAACUAAUGCAUAUCAUUAAAAUUCGAUCGCUCAAAAACUUUGCAGAACUCACAUAUACAAUAGAUCCCAGAAAGAAAGAACAAAUGAAAGAGUCUAGAAAUCAAGUAAAAAAUAAUGGCCAGAGUAAAGAGGAAAAUGAGGAGAAAAGCUGGAAUAGAGCAAUAAUCGAGCAGAAAGACUUAAGAUCAAACUCAAAUUUCAACCCAAAAAGAACUUAUUAAGAGCCAUAAGUUUUUCUUGAAAACAAUCACUUUUUAAAUCAUUUACAAAGGAAAUCAUAUACGUUACCAGAGACAACAGAAUGUUUGACCUAUGUGCAAUCAUUCUCUUUUGGAAUCUCUCUCACAUAAAUAUUACAUAUUACAUAAGUUUUGUCUCUCACACAAACACUACAUAUUACAAGCAUAUGUGACAUUAGAUAUGUGUCACAGCAUCCAUCAUCAGAAGAAGGAUCACUUAGGAGUUUAGCAACUAAAAUUCAAUUUCCACUAUACCCUUCCUUUUUCUUCGUCUAAGUAUCUGGCAAUUUCUAAACCUAAAUUCCGUAGGAUAUGGGUCUAUCAUGUUUCCUAGUAUUAGUUUGCAAAAGUGUGGUCCAUAGGUGUUCUUUUAGAUAAUGGACUUGAGUUACUUCUCAAGUAAGAAAGUAGCAAAUGAAACCUGCCAUGAAUCCAACAAAAAGUAAAAGUUGUUACAUGUGUUUUUUCAGCUUUUAAAAAUUUACAUGCCAAGUUCCUAAUCCAUAAUUUUCCAAACAUAUGGCUACAAACCAGAACUUUUGUCAUUACCGUUACAGAGAGGCUUACAUCAAUUAAAAUUUAUAAAAGCAACUACUACGAUUCAUUAUUUGCUGUCAAAUUCACCAUGAAUAUCAUGUACAUUUUGAUGCUAAAUGUGAUGAAAUCGGCCAAACCGAGGGCAGACAAAAUUUUAUACAUAUAUUUUGCUAAAGUAACUCUAGUAUUAAACUCAAUAUGGAAACAAAAUCGACAUUCUAAUUUAGGUUGAGGGCAUGCCAAGAGAGGUUGGAAGAGUAGUAACAAAUGAGUUCGUGAACAAUGAUUCUAUGCUUUUUGCUUGAUUCCUAUAACAAAAUAUCGCCGAAGAAGUUGAAAUUUUCUAACUAACAAGAUGAUUCUUUCAGCUAUUUAAUUAUACAUGGUAGCAAAUAUGCCAAAAAGUAAAUUUCAAGAACAACAAAAUAAAUUGUCUACUAGUACUGCUUCUGGUUAAUUGAAAUUUUCAAAAAUGUUAUCACGUUCGUACAUAAAGUACGACCCAGUACAAUACCACUCAGUGGUGUCUGGGGGGUAGUGUGUACGCAGCCUUACCCCUACCCUGGGGUAGAGAGGCUGUUUCCAAAUAGACCCCCGGCAUAAAUCCCCAGAAUUUGCUCCUGGGGAGACUCNNNNNNNNNAUACCACUCAGUGGUGUCUGGGGAGGGUAGUGUGUACGCAGCCUUACCCCUACCCUGGGGUAGAGAGGCUGUUUCCAAAUAGAGCCCCGGCAUAAAUCCCCAGAAUUUGCUUCUGGGGAGACUCGAACUCACAACCUCUCGUUCGUACAUAUCUUUCAAAAAUGUACUACUAUUGAAGGACCCAGCAGAAUUUUGAAGAUCUUGAACAUCAUAGGUUAAGACACACUUGAUAGCUUCUUUACCUUUAAUUUCUCACAAUUGUCAGUUUAGGCAAAAAAAGUUAUUCGCACCUGAUGUUCUAUGUUCCUACGCAGUGUAACACAAAAAUCAAUUAUUGUCCAAAGACGCUGAAUUGUUUUCUUGAUUUCAGUUCUUCUUCGCCAAUAUAAAAUUUGAACUGCAAAUAAUUUCAUAAAUAAAAAAAUCCUAAAUUAAGACUUGUUGAGUUACAACAUCUCAUUUAGCACCUACAGGACUCGCAGCGUUCAAUUUAGCAUACAUCAUCCAUGAAAUUGCAUCAAAAAUACAAUUUUAUCACUCGAUUUAACACACACUUUCCAUAAGAUUGCAAAGUUUAAAAUCAUAUAGAUAACCCAAAAGAGAAUAGGGAAGAAAUUAAAAGAACAGAAAAAGGAUCUGGAGAAAAUCAGAAAAGAACCUACAACAAUCAUUGAACUUCAGAAUCAAAACUAACAAUAAUAAAGAGAACCUAGAAGAAACCCAAAAUGAAAAGACAAGGAAGGAAAAUGUAGAGAAAAGAUACUGCAAAAUUGAUUGAACAAAUAUCUACAGAUGCUUUAGAAAUCUUACCAGAGAGAGACUUCAGAACAGCUUCGAUAAGAAAAAGGCGUGGAGAUAAGAGAAGAAAGGUCUGGGAUCAGAUAUAAGAAAAAUGACACGUAGUGUCUGAGCAACGCAUAAAGUCACAUAUGUAGGUCAUGUACAACAACAACAACUACCCAGUAUACUCCCACCAGGUGGGGUCCGGGGAGG